rnacentral:rRNA from 1 species
GGCAGCGGUUAAAAAGCUCGUAGUUGGAUUUCGGAGUUGUUAUCUGAACCUUCUCGCCCUAAAAAGUGGGGGGCUAAGGUAGCAGUAGUUUUCAUCAUAGUCCAUCAGGAUACUCUCUUGAUGUGUACUGGGUGUUAACCUCCUUUUUUCUGGUACUUGCUAUCCAGCAAUGGGUAGUUUUGUCCAGAUAGUUUACUUUGAAAAAUUAGAGUGUUCAAAGCAGGCAUAAUUGGCAUCAUGAAUACAUUAGCAUGGGAUAAUAGAAUAUGACAUUGGUCUUAUUUUGUUGGUUUCUAAGGCCAAAGUAAUGAUUGAUAGGGAUAGUUGGGGCCGCUCGUAUUGAGUUGUCAGAGUUGAAAUUCUUAGAUUCGCUGAAGACGAACUAAUGCGAAAGCAUUGCCAAGGAUGUUUUCAUUAAUCAAGAACGAAAGUUAGGGGAUCAAAGACGAUUAGAUACCGUCGUAGUCCUAGCCAUAAACUAUACCGACUAGGGAUUGGUGUGGGUCAUAAUCCAUAUCAGCACCU